UCUUUCCCCUUUUCUUUCUUCUUUCUCUUUCUUUCCCUCUCGUCCAUUUCGGGCAGUCUUAACCCCCCUUGUGCAAAUACAGAUAAAGCAGGGAGGGGGAGAUGUUCUGGA
rnacentral:ribozyme from 13 species